rnacentral:rRNA from 1 species
AUACGAAGGGGGCAAGCGUUGUUCGGAAUAACUGGGCGUAAAGCGCACGUAGGCGGAUUGAUCAGUUAGAGGUGAAAUCCCAGGGCUCAACCCUGGAACUGCCUUUAAUACUGUCAGUCUAGAGAUCGAGAGAGGUGAGUGGAAUUCUGAGUGUAGAGGUGAAAUUCGUAGAUAUUCGGAGGAACACCAGUGGCGAAGGCGGCUCACUGGCUCGAUACUGACGCUGAGGUGCGAAAGCGUGGGGAGCAAACAGAAUUAGAAACCCUGGUAGUCC